rnacentral:rRNA from 1 species
GGAUCCAGACUUUGAUUCUGGCUCAGGAUGAACGCUAGCUACAGGCUUAACACAUGCAAGUCGAGGGGCAGCAUGGUCUUAGCUUGCUAAGGCCGAUGGCGACCGGCGCACGGGUGAGUAACACGUAUCCAACCUGCCGUCUACUCUUGGACAGCCUUCUGAAAGGAAGAUUAAUACAAGAUGGCAUCAUGAGUCCGCAUGUUCACAUGAUUAAAGGUAUUCCGGUAGACGAUGGGGAUGCGUUCCAUUAGAUAGUAGGCGGGGUAACGGCCCACCUAGUCUUCGAUGGAUAGGGGUUCUGAGAGGAAGGUCCCCCACAUUGGAACUGAGACACGGUCCAAACUCCUACGGGAGGCAGCAGUGAGGAAUAUUGGUCAAUGGGCGAGAGCCUGAACCAGCCAAGUAGCGUGAAGGAUGACUGCCCUAUGGGUUGUAAACUUCUUUUAUAAAGGAAUAAAGUCGGGUAUGCAUACCCGUUUGCAUGUACUUUAUGAAUAAGGAUCGGCUAACUCCGUGCCAGCAGCCGCGGUAAUACGGAGGAUCCGAGCGUUAUCCGGAUUUAUUGGGUUUAAAGGGAGCGUAGAUGGAUGUUUAAGUCAGUUGUGAAAGUUUGCGGCUCAACCGUAAAAUUGCAGUUGAUACUGGAUAUCUUGAGUGCAGUUGAGGCAGGCGGAAUUCGUGGUGUAGCGGUGAAAUGCUUAGAUAUCACGAAGAACUCCGAUUGCGAAGGCAGCCUGCUAAGCUGCAACUGACAUUGAGGCUCGAAAGCGUGGGUAUCAAACAGGAUUAGAUACCCUGGUAGUCCACACGGUAAACGAUGAAUACUCGCUGUUUGCGAUAUACAGCAAGCGGCCAAGCGAAAGCGUUAAGUAUUCCACCUGGGGAGUACGCCGGCAACGGUGCAACUCAAAGGAAUUGACGG